GGAUAUAUUUUUUUAAUAAAAUUAAAACAAUACAGAGAAUAUUAACAUGACUCAUGCACAAGAUUACAUGCAUAAAUCGGGAAAUAUAUUACUAUUAU